CAAGAGUGAGAGAGAGAGAGAAGCAGUUGGGAAUUUUUGAGAAUUCUAUGACACAGCUUCCAAUAGAACUUUCUGUGACAAUGGAAAUGUUCUGUGUCCACGUGGCCCAAGAGGAUAGCCACUAACCACUUGAAAUGUGGCUAUUGUGCCUGGGAAACUGAGUUUGGGGUUUUAUUUAACUUUAAUUAAUUUAAGUAAAAUUUUAAUAGCCACAUGUGGCUAAUGGCUACCAUACUGAACAGCAGAGUUCUAUGGGAAUCCACCAACCCUGAAAGCACCAUCUCCAGUGGCUGGAUUUGUUAUUGAUUUUUCUUCCUCUAAGUUCAUAGUAGACGGGUAAUGUGCUGACAUCGUAAUACGGUUUCAGGGUGACACAUCUCACACAUGCAUGCUUGAGCACCCAAUUAUGCUUAUGAACUACAGUUACCAGCUUAUGGCUGGGUUUGAAGCAGACACAUAGCUAUGCUUGACCUAAUACCUCAUGUUGGCUUUUCACUCAUAAUUAAGUAUUCAUCUAAUCAUUUACUCAGUAAAUUUCCACUGAAUACCUACUAUGUGCCAGGCCCUUCCUAAAGUCUGGAAGUAAAAUAGAAAGCAACACAUACCUGGCUCUUACAUUUCUGAAGAGUGACCUGGAGACUAAUGGUAACCCAUCUGACUCCAGCACAUUGAAAAUAUUAUCUGGCUUCCAUUUUUACUGCUGAAAGGUAGUCGGUUUGUUGACUUACUGUUCUUCAGAAGGUGACCUCUCCGUUCCUGGUUGCUCUGAAGAUCUUCUCUUUGCCUUGGAUGUUCCACACUUUUAUUAUCAUGUAUUCUUCGGAUACACCAUCAUAUGUCCAGAUGGAGUCUCACUCUGUCGCCCAGGCUGGAGUGCUGUGGCUCGAUCUCUGCUCAUUGCAAUCUCCACCUCCCAACUUCAAGCGAUUCUCCUGCCUCAGCCUCCCAGUAGCUGGGAUGACAGGCACCCGCCACCACAUCCAGCUAAUUUUGUAUUUUUAGGAGAGAUGGGGUUUCACCUUGCUGGCGAGGCUGACCUCAAGUGAUCCACCUGCCUUGGCCUCCCAAAGUGCUGGGAUUAUAGGUAUGCGCUGCCCCGCCUGGCUAUUAAUUUUAUUGUUAACAGCCACUGAAGUUUUAUACAGGAUCUCGUACAUAUGAUAUACUUCACAACAAAACAUAUUUUAAAGGAAAUAUGGGAAAGUUAAUUUACUUUUUAUAGUGAGAAUCAAUAAAAAAUGCCCCAAAC